GGAGAAUAAAACCUGCAGCAUUUAAUCUUGUUUAUUUAUUUUAUUUUAAUUUCACACUCCAUCAGAGAACACUGAAAUGUUACAAAGAGAUGUGUCUGAUCCUACACGGAAAGAAAAAUAACAACCUCUAAAUCAACAGACAGAUGCUGGGAUCUGUGGCACAACUCACAUAUGGGAAGCAGGGCCACAGACACGUAGCACUUUGCUGGAAAAGACAAAGGACCUUUGCAAAGCUCUAAAGCAAAUCAAAUCUUUUUAAAUUUUUUUUUUUUACAAAUAACAACAGAGAAAAAUAAAAUAAUAAUUGGGCACCUUCUAAGAUUAGGCUAAGAUUAGGUGCUGAGGUAGACGAAAACUAUAUCAAAUUAAAUCAUAAUAAAAACACUAUUUUCUUAAUACCGAGCAACUUGACUGGCACUUGUGCUGUCACAACAAGGAAGAAGGAAACAAAGUCACAGACGAGCCAGAGAAAAAGACAGAGAGAAAAGCUUUGUUACAUAACUGUAACAUAAAAAGCUUUGUUACAUAACUGUAACAUAAAAAGCUUUGUUACGCUUGGUCCGACAGGGCAAUUGGUCCUCAGUGCUAAUAUAAAAAAGACAAUGUCUUGGUGCUUUUUUUACUCCAACAGUUUAGUCUAGACCUCAAUGGCACAUGCAUGGCAACACUGCAUGAAAUGGCUACUCGUUCUAUAACACCACACUGAAACACAGAGUGCCUACUCCAGGGAUGUCAUGAUGUCGUAUGGCUCAUCUUUUUUUAUCUCAAUCUAAAUGUACAUAAAAAAAUUAAAAAAGUACUUCACCAAAAAGUCGCAAUGUUAAUCUGGGGCAAUGCUGUGGGUUUGACAAACUGCCAAAGUGAAGAUUGUAAGGACUUUAACUGCUCAGCAAACCUGUUGCUGACAUCAAAAUAUUAUCCCCUGUACAUAUUAAAUUUUUUUUUACAGGUAUCAGUCUUCAAAACAGAUUGAAAAAGCACAAUGCAUACAAAUUCCAUGGCCCGUGAAUAUUUUAUCACCUUUGUGCUUUAUGCUGUCAAGCUCCGUAGUGUGAAUUUGUGAAAGUUUUUCUUCCUUGGUUUUGCGAGGCAAAUUAAUAUUUGGGUGUCAGUUACAUAUUAACAAUAAGAGAAUCAAAACCCUAACCUACUACCAAUUGUAGGCUAAUGCAGACACAUACAACAACUCUUUUUUUAAUUCUAAAUCAGAAAUCAGGUCAUCUCAAAAUCGCCAUGACAUCCCUAGAGUGCUGGAGACACCAUUUAUUAUCUUCUGAAAGUACAGAAACUAAGCAGAUACAGAUGGACAUCUUUGUUGAACAAUUUCCAUUUUAGGCACAAAGAUAUUACAGAAACAGAGUAACAUUGAGGGAAGAACUAUAUCAAUGCCAAUUUUUUUUUAACAUGUUGAGAGAAAAGUGGCAUAGAGCAUUGUUUUUUUUUUUUCAUUUUGUGUCUGAUGUGAUUAGUGCAUUUUUCACUAAAACAGGCACACAUUCUGCACACACAGAUACACACUUUCAUUUAUGCGCACACUCACACAAAAAAGUAUAAAACAUUCAGAGAACGCUGAUAGGAGUAUGGGACAGAAUACCUCAAGUUAUUUAAGUGUGAUGGUUUCAGGCUCUCUGGCCUGCCACUCUGAAUUGGUGACUGAAGUUAUUAUAGUGAAUGAAUAUUGAAUGAGGGAAAUCCCUCAGCUCACAGUGUUCAAGAAUACAAUGACAAGACAGCCAUGGGCUACUUCCACCAUGUUCAUGCCAUCCCUUCAUUUCUUUUAGUCACUUCAAGUACAAAAACUAAAUAUUGGCAAUACAAGUUGAUUGAAAAUUAUGACUGACAUGUACUAAUUCAGUGAUGGCAGCAUCCCUGCCAUCCAUUUUGUAAUUAUUUUAUUUUUUUCACACGCAACUUUGUGGCAGAUAGAUUUAGUCCUUCACCUACAAUGCAUUGACAUCCAGAAAGCAACACUUACAGUCACACACACACAUCCACCCACACACACACACACACACACACACAUCCAACAUUACCAAAGAGGAGCAAGGCAAAAGAUUCAAAACCAGAGAAAAAACUAGGUAAUAAACAAAAAAAUACAAAUAUUUGCCCUGCUGAAACCCUCGACAAAUGGAAAGGGACUGACACUGAAUACAAAAAUAUCACAAUUUUUAUAUAUCAAACAGCCUCUGUUGGUUCUUGUUCAGGAAUACACUCAUUUAGAGAGAACUCGACCAAGAGGAUCUCUUUUUUUCUAACCUUCCUUUAUUCUUUGAUACCACUUGCAGUCCCAAUUGUCCAACGCACACUGCAUCGCUGCAUAAAUGACCUGUUCUUGGCGGUUCAGCAUUGGUGAACCGUGUUUCUUUUUUCACAUUACAAAACUACAAUUCUAUACACCUAUUUUCAAGUUUAAUGCUUCUUUUUUUUUUUUUACUCUCCUAAAAGUACUAUUACUUCUUCUACUGUGUCUAUCCCUCUUCCCUCAUACUUAAGGCUUCAGAGUUUCGUCUCUGCUCUUAAGGUUGCUGUUGGGUGGGGCGAGGGCGAGGGGGGGGUUACUGUAAGAGCAGAAUAAACAUUUGUUUUAUUUGUCACUUUUCCUAUCAAUCUCUACCAUCUCUUACCCUUUAUAUAAAUGUUGCUUACACAUAUGAACAGACAUGAAACAGUCAACACUUGUAGCAUGAGAUGAAGUUGCAAUGAUGCAAUAAUGCAAAACACAAACAUACACAAAAUAAUGUUCUUUUGCAAAAAUUAAAACGAAAACAACAGAGGUAGCUUUUAGAACAA
ensembl:lncRNA